rnacentral:rRNA from 1 species
UACGGAGGGUGCGAACGUUAAUCGGAAUCACUGGGCGUAAAGCGCGCGUAGGCGGUCUGUUAAGUGGGAUGUGAAAUCCCCCGGGCUUUAACCUGGGAAUUGCAUUUCAAACUGGCCGACUAGAGUACGGUAGAGGGGAGGUAGAAUUUUCCUGUGUAGCGGUGAAAUGCGUAGAUAUAGGAAGGAAUACCAGUGGCGAAGGCGGCCUCCUGGAUCGAUACUGACGCUGAGGCGCGAAAGCGUGGGGAGCAAACAGGG